rnacentral:rRNA from 1 species
UACGAAGGGGGCUAGCGUUGUUCGGAGUUACUGGGCGUAAAGGGCGCGUAGGCGGCGCACCAAGUCAGGCGUGAAAGCCCUGGGCUCAACCCGGGAAUUGCGCUUGAGACUGGUGUGCUUGAGUACGGGAGAGGAUAGUGGAAUUCCCAGUGUAGAGGUGAAAUUCGUAGAUAUUGGGAAGAACACCGGUGGCGAAGGCGGCUAUCUGGACAGAAACUGACGCUGAGGCGCGAAAGCUAGGGGAGCAAACAGG